UGCAACUGCGACCUGCAGGACACGGACAGCUGAGCAGCGCCGGCGCCACGUCUGCUCACGGAUGACCGAGUCGCUGUCUGAGAAGCAUCGUUUCUGAAGGGUUCCCCCGAUGGCCGCCUGCAACAUUCUGCAUUUGAAUCCUUCUUUCACCCUCAACUUAUGCUACCAAGGAGUCAGGACACAUAAGAUGUCAGAAUUAUACCGUUAUCGACUCUCUGUCAGAAAGAAGACGGCCCCUGCUGCCCUCAACGUAUCCGAACACAGGAGCAUUUCAAUCUAACUAAAAAUCAAACUUGAUUUCAAGGACAGAUUAAAAUUAUGAACCGUCUACAUUCACCAGCUGGCAAACAGAAAUGGAACAAUCUUAGAAAUUAACCAAAUCAUUCUUUGUAGAGGAUAUGUAAAACAUGUUUGGAGCUGCUGAUGUGCUAAAAAAAUUAUAUAUUUUUUUUGCCUGAUUUUAAA